CCUACGGGAGGCAGCAGUGAGGAAUAUUGGUCAAUGGACGAGAGUCUGAACCAGCCAAGUAGCGUGAAGGAUGACUGCCCUAUGGGUUGUAAACUUCUUUUAUAUGGGAAUAAAAUGUUCCACGUGUGGGAUUUUGUAUGUACCAUAUGAAUAAGGAUCGGCUAACUCCGUGCCAGCAGCCGCGGUAAUACGGCGGAUCCUAGCGUUAUCCGGAUUUAUUGGGUUGAAAGGGAUCGUAGGUGGAUUGUUAAGUCAGUUGUGAAAGUUUGCGGCUCAACCGUAAAAUUGCAGUUGAAACUGGCAGUCGUGAGUACAGUAGAGGUGGGCGGAAUUCGUGGUGUAGCGGUGAAAUGCUUAGAUAGCACGAAGAACUCCGAUUGCGAAGGCAGCUCACUGGACUGCAACUGACACUGAGGCUCGAAAGUGUGGGUAUCAAACAGGAUUAGAUACCCCUGUAGUC
rnacentral:rRNA from 1 species